rnacentral:rRNA from 1 species
ACGGGAGGCAGCAGUGGGGAAUAUUGCGCAAUGGGCGGAAGCCUGACGCAGCGACGCCGCGUGGGGGAUGACGGCCUUCGGGUUGUAAACCUCUUUCGACUUCGACGAAGCCUUUGGGUGACGGUAGGGGUGGAAGAAGCACCGGCCAACUACGUGCCAGCAGCCGCGGUAACACGUAGGGUGCGAGCGUUGUCCGGAAUUAUUGGGCGUAAAGAGCUCGUAGGCGGUGUGUCGCGUCGGCCGUGAAAACCUGCAGCUUAACUGUGGGCUUGCGGUCGAUACGGGCAUCACUGGAGUUCGGCAGGGGAGACUGGAAUUCCUGGUGUAGCGGUGAAAUGCGCAGAUAUCAGGAGGAACACCGGUGGCGAAGGCGGGUCUCUGGGCCGAUACUGACGCUGAGGAGCGAAAGCGUGGGGAGCGAACAGGAUUAGAUACCCUGGUA